AGAGGGACACUUGCAGCAUUGCUUCACCACUUGUGGAGCUUUUUCCCCUGUCUGUCCCCCUCCUCCAUUUCUCUCUGUCCUAUCUAACAACAAUGACUUUAAUAACAACAACAAUAAUAUCUACAACAGCAAUAAAAAAAAAAAAGGGCAACAAAAGGAAAAAUAGGAAAAAAAAGAAAGAAAAUGUGCUAGAAUGGGGGCCUGGUGGUGGUGCACUUGGUUGAGUGCACACGUUACAGUAUGCAAGGACCCAAGUUGGAGGCCCCAGUCCCCACCUGCCAGGGGAAAGCUUUUCAAGUGGUGAAACAGUGCUGCAGGUGUCUGUCUCUCCCUCUCUAUCACCCCCUUACCUCUUGACUUCUGGCUGUCUCUAAUAAAUAAAGUUUAAAAAAGGGGGAAAAAAAAAAAAGAGAAAAUGUGCUACAAUGUAGAUGCCUUGUCCAGUUGUAUGAAACAUAAUAAAAACCUGAGUUAAAUGU